rnacentral:rRNA from 1 species
CCUACGGGGGGCAGCAGUGAGGAAUAUUGGUCAAUGGCCGCAGGGCUGAACCAGCCAAGUCGCGUGAGGGAUGACGGUCCUAUGGAUUGUAAACCUCUUUUGUCAGGGAGCAAAGGGCGCCACGUGUGGCGUUUUGCGAGUACCUGAAGAAAAAGCAUCGGCUAACUCCGUGCCAGCAGCCGCGGUAAUACGGAGGAUGCGAGCGUUAUCCGGAUUUAUUGGGUUUAAAGGGUGCGCAGGCGGAAUGUCAAGUCAGCGGUAAAAUUUCGGGGCUCAACCCCGUCGUGCCGUUGAAACUGGCGUUCUUGAGUGAGCGAGAAGUAUGCGGAAUGCGUGGUGUAGCGGUGAAAUGCAUAGAUAUCACGCAGAACUCCGAUUGCGAAGGCAGCAUACCGGCGCUCAACUGACGCUCAUGCACGAAAGCGUGGGUAUCGAACAGGAU